rnacentral:rRNA from 1 species
UACGUAGGGGGCAAGCGUUGUCCGGAAUUACUGGGCGUAAAGCGCACGUAGGUGGCGACGUAAGUCGGGUGUGAAAGCCCCGGGCUCAACCUGGGAAUUGCAUUCGAGACUGCAUUGCUGGAGUACGGAAGAGGAGGGCGGAAUUCCCGGUGUAGCGGUGAAAUGCGUAGAUAUCGGGAGGAACAUCAGUGGCGAAGGCGGCCCUCUGGUCCAGUACUGACACUCAAGUGCGAAAGCGUGGGGAGCAAACAGG